rnacentral:lncRNA from 1 species
AGGCAGGUACAUACUUCUACCAUGUAUGGUAUGCAGAGGGCAGCAUAAGUUCUCAUAAGUUCUCUGAUAAUGGAUUUCGAAUGAAAAAAAAAAAAAAACAUUUGAUUAUGAUGGUGAGUUCAACCUUUUGUUGAGACCAGUGGCACAAAAGCAUACAUAAACAGGAUGUUAGUCUCUUUUCCAUUCCAUUCAUAUGGAUGAAUGAACCUUAGGUAAAUUAAACAAAAAUAUUAGUCAUGCAAUUCAAUUCUUACAGUUUUAUUCUUUAAGAUAUUGUUUUGAAAAACUUAAGCAACACAAUAAUGGUUUUUUUUGUUUUAUGUGCUCACAUGUUUGAUAACCUUUUGCAUAACCAAUUAAUUAUCAUAAUUUGAACCAUGAUUUUGCUAGACUUUCUUGUUUUUAAUACUGAUAAAAAUAAGAUCUGUUUGUUAUGCAUCAUGGCAUAGAGGGUUCCUUCCUGUAUCUCACCAGUCUCAUUCUACACUUCUUAAUUGACAAUUUUAUCCUUUUUUUUCCAUUCUCUUCUUUGUCGCAUUUCAUCUUUGAAACUCUACACCCCCUUCUUUCUCUCUCUACUGGCACUUCUCCCUCUUCCCCUCGUCCCUCAUUUUUUAUUGUCGGAGGAGUCCUCUGGUUUUGUGGGUUGUGUGAGGUGUUUGUUUCUUAGAUCAGCGUUCAUGAUGUUGAGGCGAGGUUGCAGCAGUGGGUGACGGCAGAGAUUGGGCAUAUGGAUAG